AACUUUUAACAAUGGAUCACUUGGUUCUCCCAUCGAUGAAGAACGCAGCGAAAUGCGAUAAGUAGUGUGAAUUGCAGAAUUCAGUGAAUCAUCGAAUCUUUGAACGCACAUUGCGCCCUCUGGUAUUCCGGGGGGCAUGCCUGUUCGAGCGUCAUCAAAACCACUCAGGUUGGGGGUUUUCGAAACCCCAGCUUGGUCUUGGGCACGAGGGAUCAGAACCCUCCGCCUGGAAUGCAGUGGCGGAUAUUCCGGCUUGGCAAGAGCGUGAUAAACACGUCGUUCGCGAUUGGAGGCCGGAAUGCGCAGCCAUAAUAAACCCCCAAACCAUGUCUCAAGUUUGACCUCGGAUCAGGUAGGGAUACCCGCUGAACUUAAGCAUAUCAAUAAGCGGAGGCU
rnacentral:misc_RNA from 1 species